rnacentral:rRNA from 1 species
AGUGAUUAGAGUUUGAUCCUGGCUCAGAUUGAACGCUGGCGGCGUGCCUAACACAUGCAAGUCGAGCGGCAGCGCGGGAGCAAUCCUGGCGGCGAGCGGCGGACGGGUGAGUAACGCUUGGGAAUCUGCCUGUUAGUGGGGGACAACCCGGGGAAACUCGGGCUAAUACCGCAUACGCACUACGGUGGAAAGCCGGGGACCGCAAGGCCUGGCGCUAACAGAUGAGCCCAAGUCGGAUUAGCUAGUUGGUAGGGUAACGGCCUACCAAGGCGACGAUCCGUAACUGGUCUGAGAGGACGACCAGUCACACCGGAACUGAGACACGGUCCGGACUCCUACGGGAGGCAGCAGUGGGGAAUAUUGGACAAUGGGGGAAACCCUGAUCCAGCGACGCCGCGUGGGUGAAGAAGGCCUGCGGGUUGUAAAGCCCUUUCAGUGGGGAAGAAAAGCCUCGAGUUAACACCUCGGGGUCUUGUACGUAA